GAUGAACGCUGACAGAAUGCUUAACACAUGCAAGUCUUUGGCGAAGCUGUGCUCGCACAGCCUAGCCAAGGCGGACGGGUGAGUAACGCGUAAGGAACUUGCCCUGCAGUCAGGGAUAACAGACGGAAACGACUGAUAAGACCUGGUAAAGUCAGGCGGACUCAUGUCCAGCCUGAUGAAAAGAGAUGCUGCAGGAGAGCCUUGCGUCCUAUUAGCUUGUUGGUGGGGUAACGGCCCACCAAGGCGAUGAUAGGUAGCCGGCCUGAGAGGGUGGACGGCCACAAGGGGACUGAGAUACGGCCCUUACUCCUACGGGAGGCAGCAGUGGGGAAUAUUGGACAAUGGGGGCAACCCUGAUCCAGCAAUUCUGUGUGAACGAUGAAGGUUUUCGGAUUGUAAAGUGAUUUCAGCAGGGAAGAAAAAAAUGACGGUACCUGCAGAAGAAGCGACGGCUAAAUACGUG
rnacentral:rRNA from 1 species